rnacentral:rRNA from 1 species
AUGCAGUCGAACGAGAGAGAGGGAGCUUGCUUCCUCGAUCGAGUGGCGAACGGGUGAGUAACGCGUGAGGAACCUGCCUCAAAGAGGGGGACAACAGUUGGAAACGACUGCUAAUACCGCAUAAGCCCACGGCUCGGCAUCGAGCAGAGGGAAAAGGAGCAAUCCGCUUUGAGAUGGCCUCGCGUCCGAUUAGCUAGUUGGUGAGGUAACGGCCCACCAAGGCGACGAUCGGUAGCCGGACUGAGAGGUUGAACGGCCACAUUGGGACUGAGACACGGCCCAGACUCCUACGGGAGGCAGCAGUGGGGAAUAUUGCACAAUGGGGGAAACCCUGAUGCAGCGACGCCGCGUGGAGGAAGAAGGUCUUCGGAUUGUAAACUCCUGUUGUUGAGGAAGAUAAUGACGGUACUCAACAAGGAAGUGACGGCUAACUACGUGCCAGCAGCCGCGGUAAAACGUAGGUCACAAGCGUUGUCCGGAAUUACUGGGUGUAAAGGGAGCGCAGGCGGGCGAUCAAGUUGGAAGUGAAAUCCAUGGGCUCAACCCAUGAACUGCUUUCAAAACUGAUUGUCUUGAGUAGUGCAGAGGUAGGCGGAAUUCCCGGUGUAGCGGUGGAAUGCGUAGAUAUCGGGAGGAACACCAGUGGCGAAGGCGGCCUACUGGGCACCAACUGACGCUGAGGCUCGAAAGUGUGGGUAGCAAACAGGAUUAGAUACCCUGGUAGUCCACACCGUAAACGAUGAUUACUAGGUGUUGGAGGAUUGACCCCUUCAGUGCCGCAGUUAACACAAUAAGUAAUCCACCUGGGGAGUACGACCGCAGGUUGAAACUCAA